AGGCAGGGGUGUAUUCCCUUCUGAUCAUCCUGAUCCCAGUAAUCUUUACUAAAGCCCACACAAUAGUGGUGUCCAUAGGAAGCAGUCAUCAGAUCCUUCAGUAGAUCCAGGCAGUCCCAGCUGAUGGAGUCCAUACCCUCAGACAUGUCGCCAUCUUUGUAAAAUCUUGCCAUCAGGUGGCAGUCAAGCACACGUGAACUCAGACCAGGGACUUCUAGAUAUCAUUUGACAAACCUCCAAAUCACCUGUUAUCUGUUGCACAUCGCACGGCACCGGUGCAACAGGUGAGGAACAGGAAAGGACAGCUGCUUUGUCUGUCGGAUGAAGUUGCCUAGAACUUACACAACUCAAGAUGUGCACCCUACUUGCAUACCAACUUUUAAAGAACUAGGCCUACAGUAGAGCCGCCUACAAGACCCAACAUGUUGAUUUGCCCAAAAUGCUAUCUGACUGCACGUCAAAGAAAUCCCCACUAAAGAAAUAUGGCAUGUAUAAAAGUUACUAACAACACAGUGUUUUUGUCAAGGUAAACAUACGUGUUCAAAACGAUUUAUUUUCCCAUACUCUUGCUUUGAACAACACGUGUAACAUAAACAGAAAUGUUAUAGAGACAACUGUUUUACAAUGUCUGAUGAAGGUAAUCCCUGCACUUAAUAGUUUCAAGACAGAUGAUGACUAGCCAUUCAUUGGGAAAUCUAAUGGAAACAUAGACAUACCUGUGUCUGUAUUUUAAUUGACAUUCAAAUGGUUAGGCAUUGUUAGUGUUACACUUUUACUUUUAGUGUUUCACAUUUCUAAGGUGUAAAUAAUGGUUUCCAUGUAAGACGGGGAG